rnacentral:ncRNA from 1 species
GUGAACGUAAAGGGAGAGAUUGCCGUUUUCUAGCGAAAGCGGCAACGCCGAAGGAGCAAACUCCUGCCAUUAGCUGGAGUGAAUCUCUCAGGCAAAAGGACUUUUACCGGACG